GGCGGGCCGGGGGCACCGCGGGGCUCGUCUUCCCUCCGCGGCCCUGGGCAGGGACCCCCUGGCCCACCCUGGGCCCCUUGUGAGCAGGGGCGUUGGAGUGAUGAGGGCAUGGAGGAAGGAUCACAGGGAGCCUGGGGUCCCCUUGUCUUGUGGGGACACAGACGUGGCGGCACAAGGGGUGUGACGGUCCUGGCUUCAGCCGGCUGGACCUAGGGGAGGGAGGAUCCCGAGGCUGGCGCAGUGGCCGGGAUGUCCCUAGUCCCACUCGAGACCCCCCACUGCUUCCUUUCACUGCCUGGCUGCCACCCCUCCUACCACGCACCCCCUGGUAGCAGAGGACAAGGCAGGCACAGGUCCCCCACCCGAGCCCAGCUCCGUGCUGUGCCAUCUCCUCAGGGCAGGCACAGGUCCGCGCCGUCUCCUCAGGCCCGUGGAGACACCUGUUCCCGGCUCCCCCAGCAGCCAGGUUUUGCUGAGACCCAGGCAGCCUAGAUGGCCCUGUUCCGAGCUUAGUGCGGGCUGGCUGGGAGGAGCCUGGCUGACCCUAACCCUAACGCUGCCCCUCCCCGGUGUUGUCUGAAGACAGGGUUACAAUACUUUUUCAAUUUUUUUUUUUUUUUUUUGACAGGCAGAGUGGACAGUGAGAGAGAGACAGAGAGAAAGGUCUUCCUUUUGCCGUUGGUUCACCCUCCAAUGGCCGCCGCUGUAGACGCGCUGCUGCUGGUGCACCGCGCUGAUCCGAUGGCAGGAGCCAGGUGCUUCUCCUGGUCUCCCAUGGGGUGCAGGGCCCAAGCACUUGGGCCAUCCUCCACUGCAGUCCCUGGCCACAGCAGAGAGCUGGCCUGGAAGAGGGGCAACCAGGACAGGAUCGGUGCCCAACCGGGACUAGAACCCGGUGUGCUGGCACCGCAAGGCGGAGGAUUAGCCUGUUGAGCCACGGUGCCGGCCUCAAAUUUUUUUUUUUUUUUUUUAAGAUUUACUUAUUUGAGAUGGAGUGUUACAGAGAGGUAGAGAGAGGUCUUCCAUUCAGCCCCCAAAUGGCCACAAUGGCUGGAGCUGUGCUGAUCAGGAGCUUCCUCCGGGUCUCCCACGUGGGUGCAGGGGCCCAAGGACUUGGGCCAUCUUCCACUGCUUUCCCAGGCCAGAGCAGAGAGCUGGAUCAGAAGUGGAGCAGCUGGGCCUCAAACCGGCGCCCAUUUGGAAUGGCAACACUGCAGGUGGCAGCUCUCUCCGCUAUGCCACAGCGCGGGCUCUGGUUGCAACAAUUUAAAGACCUGAAGUGGCUGUUAUGUGUGACUCCAGAUGAGACGCUGGCAGGGGAGCCUGGCUUCCCAGACAAGGCCGCAGACGGCAACGGCAGGGCCGAGCAGGCUGGGGAUGGCGCUGUGCUGUCCUGACCAGGGGCCGCCCACAGCCCCCGUCAGCUCCCAGGGAGGUGUCUCCGCCUCCUCAGCACCUCCCCAGCCCCUGGGGAGAAGGCUGCUGCUUCCCAGACGUCAGCAGAGAGGAAGUGCCCAGUGUUUGCACGGUUGCUUCGUGCCCUCACAGGCUGGAGAGCCCUGGCACCCUGUUUCGCUCGUGUGCUUCUUGCCAGGGCCUGUGCACUGGAGUGCCUCCCUCCUUCCUGGCAGCUGGGAUGGCCGACAGACGGUCAGGGAAGACUGCCCCUGCGCUUCCGGGACCUCCGGAGCACCCGAUGGUCACCGUGUCGGGAGGGGAGUGGGAUUGAUGUCACCACACCACCAGCCUGGGGGGCUGACCAAGCCUGAAACUGGCCAGAGAGAGACAGAAAACGCCCACCUGCUGGCCCACUCCCCAGAUGCCCUCAGUGGCCAAGGCUGGGCAGGGCUGAAGCCAGGAGCCUGAACCUCAGUGCAGCUCUCCCACAUGGAGCUGUGCUGAUCCAAAGCCAGGAGCCAGGAGCUCCUUCCAGGUCUCCCACAAGGUGCAGGGACCCAAGCACUUGGGCCAUCUUCCACUGCUUUCCCAGGCCAGAGCAGACAGCUGGAUUGGAAGAGGAGCAGCCGGGUCUCGAACUGGUGCGCAUAUGGGAUGCCGGCACUGCAGGUGGUGGCUUUACCGGCUGAGCCACAGCGCCAGCCCCUGAAUUAAACAUUUUAAGUGCAUGAAUUGUAUGGUAUGUGAAUUACGUCUCAAUGAAGCCAUUUUUAUAAAUACAUGGAGGCCCUGGUUCUUCACUGGGACGCCUGCUCUCUGCCGCGUUAUGUCAGCUGUGUUCUCUGUUCAACGUUGCUCACAUGCUGACUAUCAAAAUAUCGAAAAAAUAAUUUCAUAAAUAAUA